UUGUUUGCACCUGUUCCUCAUCACCUAGUGUAUUUAGUCUGUGUGUUCCUGUGUCGCGUUGCCAGUUCGCCAGUUUGAUAAUUAAGUUUCUAGUGAUUCCGACCCCGGCCUGUGUAAUCGACUCCGCUUUUGCUUCUUCCCUGUCGGUACCUCUGCCUGUUCAACAAUUGUUUCCCCGUGUACCGAACCUGGACUGGAUCUUCACCGAACCCUGCUACUGCCUGACACUCAUUGGAAUUGUGUGUUUGUUAUUGGACUGCCUCACCUGUGUACCGAACCUGGACUGGAUCUCCUUCGACUUCUGCUGCUGCAGAUUUUCAUUUCACAUUUUUAACAGAACUGCAAGUACCACAACUCAAUGGCAAGCUACCCACAUUCAAAAAUCACAGCUGAAAGAGUUCUAAAUGGGGAAAAGGAGGUGAAGGUGAGGUGGCUGCCAUGCCCCAAAUGCAAUUUGAGGUGGAAAGAUUCCUGGGUGUCUCAAACUGAGCUACAGUAAACCGGAUGCAGCUUAAGUUUCUGCUUGUAGUUGUAUAAUUUGUUAUUUUAGAUGUUAUUGUAUACUGUUACUUGU